rnacentral:tRNA from 2 species
AAGAAAUUAGUUUAUUAAAACAUUGACUUGUCAAGCCAAAGAUAUCUAAAGAUAUUUCUUA